rnacentral:rRNA from 1 species
GAUGAACGCUGGCGGCGUGCCUAACACAUGCAAGUCGAGCGAACAGACGAGGAGCGCGCUCCUCUGACGUUAGCGACGGAUGGGUGAGUAAUACGUGGAUAACCUACCUAUAAGACUGGGAUAACUUCGGGAAACCGGAGCUAAUACCGGAUAAUAUAUUGAACCGCAUGGUUCAAUAGUGAAAGAGGGUUUUGCUGACACUUAUAGAUGGAUCCGCGUCGCAUUAGCUAGUUGGUAAGGUAACGGCUUACCAAGGCAACGAUGCGUAGCCGACCUGAGAGGGUGAUGCGCCACACUGGAACUGAGACACGGUCCAGACUCCUACGGGAGGCAGCAGUAGGGAAUCUUCGGAGAUGGGCGAAAGCCUGACGGAGCAACGCCGCGUGAGUGAUGAAGGUCUUCGGAUCGUAAAACUCUGUUAUUAGGGAAGAACAAAUGUGUAAGUAACUAUGCACGUCUUGACGGUACCUAAUCAAAAAGCCACGGCUAACUACGUG